UCUCAGUUCGGACUGGAGUCUGCAACCCGACUCCACGAAGCUGGAUUCGCUAGUAAUCGCGCAUCAGCCACGGCGCGGUGAAUACGUUCCCGGGCCUUGUACACACCGCCCGUCAAGCCAUGGGAGCCGGGGGGUACCUGAAGUGCGUAACCGCGAGGAGCGCCCUAGGGUAAAACUGGUGACUGGGGCUAAGUCGUAACAAGGUAAC
rnacentral:rRNA from 1 species